rnacentral:rRNA from 1 species
CACGUAGGGCGCGAGCGUUGUCCGGAAUUAUUGGGCGUAAAGAGCUCGUAGGCGGCCUGUUGCGUCCGCUGUGAAAGCCCGGGGCUUAACCCCGGGUCGGCAGUGGAUACGGGCAGGCUAGAGGUAGGUAGGGGAGAAUGGAAUUCCCGGUGUAGCGGUGAAAUGCGCAGAUAUCGGGAGGAACACCGGUGGCGAAGGCGGUUCUCUGGGCCGAUACUGACGCUGAGGAGCGAAAGCGUGGGGAGCAAACAGG